GUAGGGGGCAAGCGUUGUCCGGAUUUAUUGGGCGUAAAGAGCGUGUAGGCGGCUUGGUAGGUCUUGCGUCAAAACCUGAGGCUCAACCUCAGUUCGCGUGGGAAACCACCUAGCUAGAGUCCGGAAGAGGAGAACGGAAUUCCCAGUGUAGCGGUGAAAUGCGCAGAUAUUGGGAAGAACACCAGUGGCGAAGGCGGUUCUCUGGGACGGUACUGACGCUGAGACGCGAAAGCGUGGGGAGCGAACAGGAUUAGAUACCCUGGUAGUCCACGCCGUAAACGAUGGGCGCUAGGUGUGGGAGGUGUCGACUCCUUCCGUGCCGAAGCUAACGCAUUAAGCGCCCCGCCUGGGGAGUACGGCCGCAAGGCUA
rnacentral:rRNA from 1 species